CAAAUCGAAUUGGCCAAAUGUUCAUCACAAAUUCAGCCCUUGCUGCAAGAUACAGUUUAAAUGGCCAUUAAGCUCCAGAUGAUCUUCAGUAUGAGGGAUACCAUCCUCUCAAUAUUCAAGAGUCACCCUUCUACAGAGCGUACCCCUAGACUGCCAAUCAGUGGAACAUGACAAAGGUGAAAUCCUGCCCCUAUCUCCCUUGGACCUGUCUGGGUAUUGCUUUCACCAACUCAGGGAGACAACACUGCCCUGACAGCUAAUAAGAGGCCAAGAUCCACAAAACCACCACCUCCACUCCUCUGUCAGAAGAAAGGAGUUA
rnacentral:lncRNA from 10 species